AAUGAACGCUGGCGGCGUGCUUAAUACAUGCAAGUCGAACGAGAAAGUGCCCUUCGGGGUACGAGUAAAGUGGCGCACGGGUGAGUAACGCGUAAGUUAUCUGCCCUUUAGUUUGGAAUAACUUCGGGAAACCGGAGCUAAUACCAGAUAAGCCCCCGGUACCGUAAGGUACUGAGGGAAAAGGUAGCCUCUUCACGAAAGCUUCUGCUAAAGGAUGAGCUUGCGUACCAUUAGCUAGUUGGUGGGGUAAAGGCCUACCAAGGCAAUGAUGGUUAGCUGGUCUGAGAGGACGACCAGCCACACUGGAACUGAGAUACGGGCCAGACUCCUACGGGAGGCAGCAGUAGGGAAUUUUGCGCAAUGGGGGCAACCCUGACGCAGCGACGCCGCGUGAGUGAAGAAGGCCUUCGGGUUGUAAAGCUCUGUCAGAGGGGACGAAUAAGUGGGGUCUAAUAGGCUCCAUGAUGACGGUACCUUCAGAGGAAGCACCGGCUAACUCUGUGCCAGCCGCCGCGGUAA
rnacentral:rRNA from 1 species